UACGGUCACAUCACCUUUAAACACUGGUUCACAUGCGAUCAUCAAAGUUAAGCAACAUCGAGCCUGGUCAGUACCUCGAUGGGUGACCGCUUGGAAAUACCAGGUGAUGUAA